UAUUAGUCAAUGCUCGCAAGAGUGAACUAGCUAACUGAAAUUAUAAUUUCUGGGGGACCGGAAAAUAUGUAAUAACGUAAUGGGCCGUUAUAAUGAAUAUACUUAUACUUUUUAACGGGUAGAAAAAAAUGAUAUGACCAUUACUAUUAGUGCUGUCCAAAGCUGGUGCCAGAAGACUCGGUAAGGCCAGAAGCGCGUACGUUAGUCACAUUAAAUAGGCGUAAAGGGUGUGUAGGCAGCUUCUUAAAACUAAUCUUUUUGAUUAACUACUUUAUAUUUUAAAAUGAAAAUUUUAUUUUAUACUGAAUAAAAAGAAAGGCGACUAGAACGCUAGGAUCAUAUCGAGGUUAAACAGAAUAAUACUUAGUGUAGGGAUUCAAUCUCAAGAUAUUAAGUAGAAUACUAAUAGGUGUAAGCUUUUUUCCAUUAAUGAUUGACGCUGAGACACGAAGGCGGGAAAAGGGAAUAGGAUUAGAUACCCAAAUUACCUCCUGCAGUAAACAAUGUAUGGUUUUCUCGGCAGCUCAGGUUGCCAUUGACGCUAACGCUAUAACCAUACCGCCUUGCGAGUACGGUUGCAAAACUGAAACCAAAAAAAUUAGUCGGCCUCGGAGCAAACGAAGUGAAGCAUGUUAUU
rnacentral:rRNA from 1 species